AUUGAACGCUGGCGGCAUGCUUUACACAUGCAAGUCGAACGGCAGCGCGGGCUUCGGCCUGGCGGCGAGUGGCGAACGGGUGAGUAAUGCAUCGGAACGUGCCCAGUAGUGGGGGAUAGCCCGGCGAAAGCGGGAUUAAUACCGCAUACGACCUGUGGGUGAAAGCGGGGGACCGAAAGGCCUCGCGCUAUUGGAGCGGCCGAUGUCGGAUUAGCUAGUUGGUGGGGUAAAGGCUUACCAAGGCGACGCUCCGUAACUGGUCUGAGAGGACGACCAGCCACCCUGGGACUGAGGCACGGCCCCGACUCCGACGGGAGGCCGCAGUCGGGAAUUUUGGACAAUGGGGGCAAGCCUGAUCCAGCCAUGCCGCGUGCGGGAAGAAGGCCUUCGGGUUGUAAAGCGCUUUUGUUCGGGAAGAAAUCCUGUGGGCUAAUACCCCGGGGGGAUGACGGUACCGGAAGAAUAAGCACCGGCUAACUACGUG
rnacentral:rRNA from 1 species